rnacentral:rRNA from 1 species
UACGGAGGGUGCAAGCGUUAAUCGGAAUUACUGGGCUUAAAGCGCACGCAGGUGGCUGAGUCAGUCGAUUGUGAAAGCCCUGGGCUUAACCUGGGAAUUGCAGUCGAUACUACUCAGCUAGAGUAUGGGAGAGGGGAGUGGAAUUCCCGGUGUAGCGGUGAAAUGCGUAGAUAUCGGGAGGAACAUCAGUGGCGAAGGCGGCUGCCUGGCCCAAUACUGACGCUCAGGUGCGACAGCGUGGGGAGCAAACAGG